rnacentral:rRNA from 1 species
GACGAACGCUGGCGGCGUGCCUAAUACAUGCAAGUAGAACGCUGAAGGAGGAGCUUGCUUCUCUGGAUGAGUUGCGAACGGGUGAGUAACGCGUAGGUAACCUGCCUGGUAGCGGGGGAUAACUAUUGGAAACGAUAGCUAAUACCGCAUAAGAGUAGAUGUUGCAUGACAUUUGCUUAAAAGGUGCAAUUGCAUCACUACCAGAUGGACCUGCGUUGUAUUAGCUAGUUGGUGGGGUAACGGCUCACCAAGGCGACGGUACAUAGCCGACCUGAGAGGGGGGUCGGCCCACCUGGGACUGGGACACGGCCCCGGCUCCUACGGGGGGCAGCAGGAGGGAAUCUUCGGGAAUGGACGGAAGGCUGACCGGGCAACGCCGCGUGAGGGAAGAAGGUUUUCGGAUCGUAAAGCUCUGUUGUAAGAGAAGAACGAGUGUGGGAGUGGAAAGUUCACACUGUGACGGUAUCUUACCAGAAAGGGACGGCUAACUACGUG